rnacentral:rRNA from 3 species
AAAUUGAAGAGUUUGAUCAUGGCUCAGAUUGAACGCUGGCGGCAGGCCUAACACAUGCAAGUCGAACGGUAACAGGAAGCAGCUUGCUGCUUUGCUGACGAGUGGCGGACGGGUGAGUAAUGUCUGGGAAACUGCCUGAUGGAGGGGGAUAACUACUGGAAACGGUGGCUAAUACCGCAUAACGUCGCAAGACCAAAGAGGGGGACCUUCGGGCCUCUUGCCAUCAGAUGUGCCCAGAUGGGAUUAGCUAGUUGGUGAGGUAACGGCUCACCAAGGCGACGAUCCCUAGCUGGUCUGAGAGGAUGACCAGCCACACUGGAACUGAGACACGGUCCAGACUCCUACGGGAGGCAGCAGUGGGGAAUAUUGCACAAUGGGCGCAAGCCUGAUGCAGCCAUGCCGCGUGUAUGAAGAAGGCCUUCGGGUUGUAAAGUACUUUCAGCGGGGAGGAAGGUGUUGUGGUUAAUAACCGCAGCAAUUGACGUUACCCGCAGAAGAAGCACCGGCUAACUCCGUGCCAGCAGCCGCGGUAAUACGGAGGGUGCAAGCGUUAAUCGGAAUUACUGGGCGUAAAGCGCACGCAGGCGGUCUGUCAAGUCGGAUGUGAAAUCCCCGGGCUCAACCUGGGAACUGCAUUCGAAACUGGCAGGCUUGAGUCUUGUAGAGGGGGGUAGAAUUCCAGGUGUAGCGGUGAAAUGCGUAGAGAUCUGGAGGAAUACCGGUGGCGAAGGCGGCCCCCUGGACAAAGACUGACGCUCAGGUGCGAAAGCGUGGGGAGCAAACAGGAUUAGAUACCCUGGUAGUCCACGCCGUAAACGAUGUCUACUUGGAGGUUGUGCCCUUGAGGCGUGGCUUCCGGAGCUAACGCGUUAAGUAGACCGCCUGGGGAGUACGGCCGCAAGGUUAAAACUCAAAUGAAUUGACGGGGGCCCGCACAAGCGGUGGAGCAUGUGGUUUAAUUCGAUGCAACGCGAAGAACCUUACCUGGUCUUGACAUCCACAGAACUUUCCAGAGAUGGACUGGUGCCUUCGGGAACUGUGAGACAGGUGCUGCAUGGCUGUCGUCAGCUCGUGUUGUGAAAUGUUGGGUUAAGUCCCGCAACGAGCGCAACCCUUAUCCUUUGUUGCCAGCGGUUAGGCCGGGAACUCAAAGGAGACUGCCAGUGAUAAACUGGAGGAAGGUGGGGAUGACGUCAAGUCAUCAUGGCCCUUACGACCAGGGCUACACACGUGCUACAAUGGCGCAUACAAAGAGAAGCGACCUCGCGAGAGCAAGCGGACCUCAUAAAGUGCGUCGUAGUCCGGAUUGGAGUCUGCAACUCGACUCCAUGAAGUCGGAAUCGCUAGUAAUCGUGGAUCAGAAUGCCACGGUGAAUACGUUCCCGGGCCUUGUACACACCGCCCGUCACACCAUGGGAGUGGGUUGCAAAAGAAGUAGGUAGCUUAACCUUCGGGAGGGCGCUUACCACUUUGUGAUUCAUGACUGGGGUGAAGUCGUAACAAGGUAACCGUAGGGGAACCUGCGGUUGGAUCACCUCCUUACCUUAAAGAAGC